CGAGUCCAUGAGAGUUUGCCCUUAGAUGUUUAUCCUUAUAAGAUCAUGUGAAUCCCUAUAGAGUUCAUGAAAAUUUCUUGAAAAGGGUUCAAUUUUUCAUCUUUCUAGAAUCUAGCUUCUGCUUUCCAAUCUCUCCGUGUGUGACACUUAUGUUAAUAAGAAUCAUAACCCUUAAACUCUGCUUCAUCUCCCAGCCGUUUCUUCUCCCUAUACGUGCAUUG